GUACUCGAGCGGCGAACGGGUGAGUAACACGUGAGCAACCUGCCCCUGACUCUGGGAUAAGCCCGGGAAACUGGGUCUAAUACCGGAUACGACCACUGAUCGCAUGAUCGUGUGGUGGAAAGUUUUUCGGUUGGGGAUGGGCUCGCGGCCUAUCAGCUUGUUGGUGGGGUGAUGGCCUACCAAGGCGACGACGGGUAACCGGCCUGAGAGGGCGACCGGUCACACUGGGACUGAGACACGGCCCAGACUCCUACGGGAGGCAGCAGUGGGGAAUAUUGCGCAAUGGGCGAAAGCCUGACGCAGCGACGCCGCGUGAGGGAUGACGGCCUUCGGGUUGUAAACCUCUUUCAGCAGGGACGAAGCUAACGUGACGGUACCUGCAGAAGAAGCGCCGGCUAACUACGUGCCAGCAGCCGCGGUAAUACGUAGGGCGCAAGCGUUGUCCGGAAUUAUUGGGCGUAAAGAGCUCGUAGGCGGUUUGUCGCGUCUGUCGUGAAAGCCCACGGCUUAACCGUGGGUCUGCGGUGGAUACGGGCAGACUAGAGGCAGGUAGGGGAGAACGGAAUUCCCGGUGUAGCGGUGAAAUGCGCAGAUAUCGGGAGGAACACCGGUGGCGAAGGCGGUUCUCUGGGCCUGUACUGACGCUGAGGAGCGAAAGCGUG
rnacentral:rRNA from 1 species